rnacentral:lncRNA from 1 species
GGGAAGACACUGGAGAAAGUUCCACCCAAAUAAGGCAAAGAAUUGGGUUUCAGGGGGAUGUAGCCUACUCCCAGAGCUUAAUUCCUUGCCUAGCGAAGGGAGGUCCACCUGCUUUGGCUCUGCCAGCAGAAGCCAUUUUCACACCUUCAUUGCUGAAAGCCAAGGGUAUGUACGUGCUCAACUCCUGUUCAUGGAACCGACAAGGCAGGAGGUUGUAGGUUAGAGGCCAGCCUCAGCAGCUUAGUGAGACCCUGUCUCAUAUAUAAAAAGGGUUGGGGAUGUGGCUGGGGAAUGCCCCUGGGUUCAAUUCCUAGAACCACAAAAAAGAAAAGAAAAAAAUCAUGUCUGUACUGAACAUAUACAGAAAACACAUAGACUUUUUCCCCUGAACAGUACAGUACACAGCUAUUUACAGAGCACUUACACUAUAUUAGGCAUUAUAAGUCAUCUAGAGAUGAUGGUAGCUACAUACACUGAAGCAGUGGGAGGAUCACUUGAAUCCAAGAAUUCAAAACCAGCCUGGGCAACACAGACCCAUCUCAAAAAAUAAUAAAGUACAUGGGAGGGUGUGUGUGUGUGAUAUGUAAAUACUGCUCCAUUUAAUGUAAGAGACCUGAGCGUCCAUGGAGUCUGGCAUCCUUGGUGGGGGGGGGGGGGGAAGAUGCUGGAAUCAGUCCCUUGUAGUCACUGAGGGAUGACUGUUGAUUCAGAAUACACAGGAAGUGAAACCUGAUGUCUCAAGGAGGGAGGGUCCUUCUGUGGUUGGGUCCCCUCAGGCAUUUCAUCAGGGUGUCCCAGUGGCACCAGGAUAAUAAUGCCCAUUUCACAUCUGCCAAAGAUCACUGUUAUGGGUUGUAUGUGAGGUGUCCCCUGAAAGCUCACACGUGAGACAAUGCAAGAGGGCCAGAAGGGGAAAUGAUCAGGUAGGGAGAGCCUUAAACGAAUCAGUGAAUUGCUCCCUGAUGGGAUUAACUGAGUGGUGACUAGAGACAGGUGGGUUGAGCUGAAGGAGGUGGGGCAUUG